GAAAUGCGAUAAGUAAUGUGAAUAGCAGAAUUCAGUGAAUCAUCGAAUCUUUGAACGCAUCUUGCGCUCCUUGGUAUUCCGAGGAGCAUGCCUGUUUGAGUGUCAUGGAAUUCUCAACUCUAUUUGCUUUUGUGAAUAGAGCUUGGAUUUGGAGGUUUAUUGCUGGUACUUGUGAUCGGCUCCUCUUGAAUGCAUUAGCUCGAACCUUUGCGGAUCAGCUAUCGGUGUGAUAAUUGUCUACGCCGUUGCAGUGAAGCAUAUCAAUGGGCUCGGCUUCCAAUCGUCCUUUACUGGACAAUGACUUUGACCUUUGACCUCAAAUCAGGUAGGAUUACCCGCUGAACUUAAGC
rnacentral:misc_RNA from 1 species